UACAGAGGGUGCAAGCGUUGUUCGGAAUUAUUGGGCGUAAAGGGAGUGUAGGCGGUUUGCUAAGUCUUCUGUGAAAUCUACGGGCUCAGCCUGUAACGUGCAGAGGAAACUGACAGACUUGAGUGUCGGAGAGGAUAGUGGAAUUCCCGGUGUAGAGGUGAAAUUCGUAGAGAUCGGGAGGAACACCAGUGGCGAAGGCGACUAUCUGGGCUGACAACUGACGCUGAGACUCGAAAGCAUGGGGAGCAAACAGG
rnacentral:rRNA from 1 species